GUCAGAGGCGAUAGCACGGUGAAAGCACCAGUUCUCAAAGGGUCACUGAAGUUAAGCAACGAUGCGCGUGGUUAGUAUCCGAACAGGUGACCAUCUUUUUUUUUAGAGGUUUGACA
rnacentral:rRNA from 1 species